GAAUUAGAAUUCCCUUCUGUGUAUGGUUCUAGGUUAGCAUUGGCCACAGGAGAAAUUCUCACAAGAUUUUGGAAGGUGGAUAGAUUCUCUAUGAGAAUCCAUUCCUAAAUUACAACAAAAGAAUAGGACAUUCAAGGAAGAAAAAAAUAAGAAUGUAUUAUUUACAUUGCAGAAGAAUAAAAAGUUCAAUCUGUCCAGAGUUCAUAGUGGAAAGUGAUGGAGAAUGAGGGCAACUUCAUGGACUUCCAGAAUCUAUUCACUCAUCCUCAUCCUGAAGCAGUCGUUUCCUCUUUCAAAGGAGUGUGGUUCCCUAUAAAAUCCAGAGAAGAGGGAGAGAAAAAAACAACCACCACCAGCAGUGAAAAAGACAAUGACAGAAGGUGCAUUUACCAGAAAGUUUUAGUAUGUAUCAGUUUCCUUGGUUACAAGUAAUAGAAUAAGGUGGGAGGAGGAAACGUUUGAAGCACAAAUCACUGGAAUAAGAAACCAGACAAGGUUUCAAAGCUCAGAGUAACAUCUAGGGCACUAGCAAAGCAGAGUGGAGAAAUGAGGCAAUUAUUCUGAUGGUCCAAGGCAAAAUGAAAUCUUUCACCUGGAAAUCACCAGAUAAUUCCAAAUGAAAUGAUUUUUUU